rnacentral:rRNA from 1 species
GACGAACGCUGGCGGCGUGCUUAACACAUGCCAGUCGAACGGUAAGGCUCCAGCUUGCUGGGGUACACGAGUGGCGAACGGGUGAGUAACACGUGGGUGACCUGCCCUGCACUUCGGGAUAAGCCUGGGAAACUGGGUCUAAUACCGGAUAGGACCGCACCGUGAGGGUGUGGUGGAAAGUUUUUUCGGUGUGGGAUGGGCCCGCGGCCUAUCAGCUUGUUGGUGGGGUAAUGGCCUACCAAGGCGGCGACGGGUAGCCGGCCUGAGAGGGUGGACGGCCACAUUGGGACUGAGACACGGCCCAGACUCCUACGGGAGGCAGCAGUGGGGAAUAUUGCACAAUGGGCGGAAGCCUGAUGCAGCGACGCCGCGUGGGGGAUGACGGCCUUCGGGUUGUAAACUCCUUUCGCCAUCGACGAAGGGUUUCUGACGGUAGAUGGAGAAGAAGCACCGGCUAACUACGUG